CCUACGGGGGGCUGCAGUAGGGAAUAUUAGAAAUGGACGAAAGUCUGAUCUAGCAACACCGCGUGUGCGAAGAAGGCCUUCGGGUCGUAAAGCACUUUUUGGAAGGAAUAGGAAGGAAUGUACUUCCAGAAUAAGUCUCGGCUAACUACGUGCCAGCAGCCGCGGUAACACGUAGGAGGCAAACGUUAUCCGGAUUUACUGGGCGUAAAGCGCGUGUAGGUGGUACUGUAAGUAGGGCGUGAAAGCUCCUGGCUCAACUGGGAGAGGCCGUUCUAAACUACAGAACUAGAGGAUGGUAGAGGGAGGUGGAAUUCCAGGUGUAGCGGUGGAAUGCGCAGAUAUCUGGAGGAACACCGGUGGCGAAGGCGGCCUCCUGGACCAUUCCUGACACUCAGACGCGAAAGCUAGGGUAGCAAACGGGCUUAGAUACCCCUGUAGUC
rnacentral:rRNA from 1 species